rnacentral:rRNA from 1 species
GAAUAUUGGUCAAUGGACGAGAGUCUGAACCAGCCAAGUAGCGUGAAGGAUGACUGCCCUAUGGGUUGUAAACUUCUUUUAUAUGGGAAUAAAGUAUUCCACGUGUGGGAUUUUGUAUGUACCAUAUGAAUAAGGAUCGGCUAACUCCGUGCCAGCAGCCGCGGUAAUACGGAGGAUCCGAGCGUUAUCCGGAUUUAUUGGGUUUAAAGGGAGCGUAGGCGGACGCUUAAGUCAGUUGUGAAAGUUUGCGGCUCAACCGUAAAAUUGCAGUUGAUACUGGGUGUCUUGAGUACAGUAGAGGCAGGCGGAAUUCGUGGUGUAGCGGUGAAAUGCUUAGAUAUCACGAAGAACUCCGAUUGCGAAGGCAGCCUGCUGGACUGUAACUGACGCUGAUGCUCGAAAGUGUGGGUAUCAAACAGGAUUAGAUACCCUGGUAGUCCACACAGUAAACGAUGAAUACUCGCUGUUUGCGAUAUACAGUAAGCGGCCAAGCGAAAGCGUUAAGUAUUCCACCUGGGGAGUACGCCGGCAACGGUGAAACUCAAAGGAAUUGACGGGGGCCCGCACAAGCGGAGGAACAUGUGGUUUAAUUCGAUGAUACGCGAGGAACCUUACCCGGGCUUGAAUUGCAACUGAAUGAUGUGGAGACAUGUCAGCCGCAAGGCAGUUGUGAAGGUGCUGCAUGGUUGUCGUCAGCUCGUGCCGUGAGGUGUCGGCUUAAGUGCCAUAACGAGCGCAACCCUUAUCGAUAGUUACCAUCAGGUUAUGCUGGGGACUCUGUCGAGACUGCCGUCGUAAGAUGUGAGGAAGGUGGGGAUGACGUCAAAUCAGCACGGCCCUUACGUCCGGGGCUACACACGUGUUACAAUGGGGGGUACAGAAGGCAGCUACACGGCGACGUGAUGCUAAUCCCUAAAGCCUCUCUCAGUUCGGAUUGGAGUCUGCAACCCGACUCCAUGAAGCUGGAUUCGCUAGUAAUCGCGCAUCAGCCACGGCGCGGUGAAUACGUUCCCG